CGGAGUGGGGGGCAAGGUCUUCUCUGAGGAUGUUAGCCUUAUCGCUCUUUCAGACGGUAGUCAAUAAAAACAGCUUCCUUAGACGAUCUUCAGAGAAACAGCUUGUGUGCAUAUACUUUUUUUCCGGGGUGGAAAAGGGUUAUACAUAAACUUUGGCAAGUGGGGAGGAGUGUUCAGGGAGAAAGAAAUCACUGGCUGGAAUUUAAAGUCCUGUCAACACCUCAUAUGUGUGGAGAGGCAACGCAGAAAUCCCAGUCAAAGCUUCUGCAAGAUCUGGGAUGGCAUUGGAUCACGCAGGCCUUUGUAAGGUAAGAGAAACCCUUGAAAGGCUGAAGUCAAUGCAACUGAGGCAGCCCCUAGUUUUCCACACAAAGGGGCCAGACAAGGUGAGAAAACCAUGGAGGAUACGAAACUCCUUUUGCUCUGUUGGAUUCUUUUCCUGCGCACACUCAUUUGUAUCAUGAAGCGCUAGGUCAUGGAUACAGGUUGCUGAGAGCUGAAGAAGAAAAUUUCCAGGCCUACUUCACUGUCUCCUUGGAAACUUCAAAAUUGCUUUGCCAUGGCUUGGAGAUUCCUCAGGUAACACACUGAGACCUUCUAGGGCCUCCUGAGAAGGAAGACUUCAAUUACACCUCAAACCAGGUGUGUACUUCUAGAACAUUCUCAGUGCUGCUGUGGUAAAUUACCACAAAUGUAGUAGCUUGGCACACAAAUCCAUACACACACACACACACACACACACACACACACCUUCAAACAUACUUCUCCAACUUCGGCUUCUGACCUUGAAUGACCUCUUCUAGACUCCAGCCCUCACCACUCUCUGUAACAAACAUCUCUGUGGAUAUUCAGGUCUCCUAAGGCUCCAGGCUUCAGUCAGUACAUGAGGUCCUUGACGGCUUCACAGCCUGCUUCCACCUCAUCCCUGCAGCCUGGAAAACCGAGGGGCAGCAAGAGUUCACAUAGGUCAGCAUAGGGAUUUCAACCUCAGUGUCAUGGACACAGUAGAUAAACACAAACAGAGCACAGUUCAAAUGAGCUCUUACUUGGGUCGGCCACCAUUCUUUCUAAGGCCUGGCUUCUGAGCGUGGAGCUCCAGGGGGGCGGAGCUGUUCAAAUUUCAUGCAGGACAAUUCUGGGAAUUCUAGGAUGCUUACCAUCCCAGGCCUCUGCUCCAUAAAGUUCGCCGCAUCCUCCCCACCCCAACCAUUGUGACGAUCAAAACAGACUCCCACGCAUUUCCUAAUGGCCACUGGUGAGGCGGCAUUGCCAGAAACCUCAGGCAGACAAUGCUUAUCUGUGUAGUCGAAGGUCCUAGGGGAGAAGCUGUUUCUUAGGACACACGCAAACACUUGCUUAGAGCUUCCACCACGGGAUUCAUUGUCACAACUCACAGGACCUAAGGAUGCUUUAUGUGCCUAAGGUCAUGGCCUCACAUCCCUACAUCCUCAGUGAUCCACAGCUCAGGGCCAAGCUGAACCUUCUAUUGCAAGAUCCUGCUACGGUUACGGAUUCAGAGAGCAUUUCCAACAAGUGAGUCAUCACCCAGGCCGUUGGCCUCAAGGAGACCUGGAACAAGUUUGUGGCAGUUCUGAUGUACCAGCUGCUCUCUGACUCCAAUGCUUCAUGGUGCCCAUGAGAACUGAGCAUCUGCUGUUCCGGGCCUUGUGACUCUGCAUCCAUGACUCAGACUGCCUCCCAACUUGCCAAGUCUCUCUACUGCUGUUUUCUAUCUUUACUCUCAGUUGCUACCUCAGUUUUUCUUCCUUCUCUGAUCCCUGCAGGGCAUGAGGCUGAAUGAUUAGCCAAUCCUUUCCAGUGGCAUAGUCUCUGUAGGUACCAAGGGUCUCCACCUAAAUCCAGUGAGGUCAAAAGCCUCUGGUCUGCUUCCCUACAUGUAGUUACUUUGGUCAGUACUGUUUUCCUGUAUUAUCCAUGUGAGCAGAAUGGCACGGGCUGUGACACACUUCAUGGUAGAAUCUGGAACCUGUGGGGAUGUGUGGGUGGCUGAGUACUUGAAGUCCCUGAGUCAGUCAUUGUGGUUAUCCAUGGCUCUGCCAUGGGGCAGCAGCACCCUUGACUGACCCUUUUCUCUUUGUAUAUUUGUAGGUUGCCUUUAGGGCACACCUCUCUACAGCAGUAAGAAUUCCUGUGCAUGUACUUUAUACCAACAGUCCCUCCCCCAAGGUUUGGCUGUCUUGCUGAUAAUGCAAAAAUAUUACCAGAACUACAGUUAAAUAUAUACUCAGGGUCAACGGUUAACUCCACAAAGAUGAAAAGAAAAAAAUCUGUUGAUGAAGUAAAGCUGGGGGAGGGCAUGGCUUCGACAAAGUUCCCAUCAUGCUCCAGCAUGGCUGAGGCAGGUUUCAGAAGGUGGGUCCUGGCUGGAAUGAGGAGACAUCCAAGUUUGCAUUCGUGGGUUCAAGAGCGUGAGGGUCUAGGAAGAGCUUGAUGAGUAAUCCGUACUAGCUGUUGGCAAACCACUCCACUGCCUACUCUUCCAGGACUAAGAGUUUUCUGGAGUAAGUGAUGAAUUUAUUUCGGCUCAAUCUCAGCAUUAGUUAGCACGGGGCCCACAAACUCUGAUUCUUAGUGAUGUAUUUGUAACAUCUUAAAGUAACUUCUCACGCUCUCCACCAAUCAUAAAGCCACCGUGGGAGGCUUUGUGCAGGUUAUAAUAGAGUGCUAUCAGUUUGCUGUUAUUGUUGUUUGUUUUUCUUUCUUCCUUUUUUUAAAUUCCUAUAAGACAGUGGGAUGCCAUAUUUUUGGGGUACUUUUCAUUCUCUUGAUUUUUGUGACACAGGGAACAUCUCAAUUUAAUAGUUUGUAAAAUGGGGAUAAUUCUACCAAUUGUGAUGAGGAUUAAACAGCUUAUAUAAGUA
rnacentral:sRNA from 1 species